GGGUUGUGAGGUUAAGCGACUAAGCGUACACGGUGGAUGCCCUGGCAGUCAGAGGCGAUGAAGGGCGUGCUAAUCUGCGAUAAGCGCCGGUAAGGUGAUAUGAACCGUUAUAACCGGCGAUACCCGAAUGGGGAAACCCAGUGUGACUCGUCACACUAUCAUUAACUGAAUCCAUAGGUUAAUGAGGCGAACCGGGGGAACUGAAACAUCUAAGUACCCCGAGGAAAAGAAAUCAACCGAGAUUCCCCCAGUAGCGGCGAGCGAACGGGGAGGAGCCCAGAGCCUGAAUCAGCAUGUGUGUUAGUGGAAGCGUCUGGAAAGACGCGCGAUACAGGGUGACAGCCCCGUACACAAAAGCGCAUGUGUUGUGAGCUCGAUGAGUAGGGCGGGACACGUGGUAUCCUGUCUGAAUAUGGGGGGACCAUCCUCCAAGGCUAAAUACUCCUGACUGACCGAUAGUGAACCAGUACCGUGAGGGAAAGGCGAAAAGAACCCCGGCGAGGGGAGUGAAAAAGAACCUGAAACCGUGUACGUACAAGCAGUGGGAGCACAGGUUUACCUGUGUGACUGCGUACCUUUUGUAUAAUGGGUCAGCGACUUAUAUUCUGUAGCAAGGUUAACCGAAUAGGGGAGCCGGAGGGAAACCGAGUCUUAAUUGGGCGUUAAGUUGCAGGGUAUAGACCCGAAACCCGGUGAUCUAGCCAUGGGCAGGUUGAAGGUUGGGUAACACUAACUGGAGGACCGAACCGACUAAUGUUGAAAAAUUAGCGGAUGACCUGUGGCUGGGGGUGAAAGGCCAAUCAAACCGGGAGAUAGCUGGUUCUCCCCGAAAGCUAUUUAGGUAGCGCCUCGUGAACUCAUCUCCGGGGGUAGAGCACUGUUUCGGCUAGGGGGCCAUCCCGGCUUACCAACCCGAUGCAAACUGCGAAUACCGGAGAAUGUUAUCACGGGAGACACACGGCGGGUGCUAACGUCCGUCGUGAAGAGGGAAACAACCCAGACCGCCAGCUAAGGUCCCAAAGUCAUGGUUAAGUGGGAAACGAUGUGGGAAGGCCCAGACAGCCAGGAUGUUGGCUUAGAAGCAGCCAUCAUUUAAAGAAAGCGUAAUAGCUCACUGGUCGAGUCGGCCUGCGCGGAAGAUGUAA
rnacentral:rRNA from 1 species